rnacentral:rRNA from 1 species
AGAGCGAACGCUGGCGGCAGGCCUAACACAUGCAAGUCGAGCGCGUGUAGCAAUACACGAGCGGCAGACGGGAGAGUAACACGUGGGAACGCGCCCUUCGGUUCGGAAUAACUCAGGGAAACUUGAGCUAAUACCGGAUACGCCCUUACGGGGAAAGAUUUAUUGCCGAAGGAACGGCCCGCGUCCGAUUAGCUAGUUGGUGAGGUAACGGCUCACCAAGGCGACGAUCGGUAGCUGGUCUGAGAGGAUGACCAGCCUCACUGGGACUGAGACACGGCCCAGACUCCUACGGGAGGCAGCAGUGGGGAAUAUGGACAAUGGGCGCAAGCCUGAUCCAGCCAUGCCGCGUGGAUGAUGAAGGCCUUAGGGUUGUAAAGUCCUUUAACGGGGAAGAUAAUGACGGUACCGUAGAAUAAGCCCCGGCUAACUUCGCGCCAGCAGCCGC